ensembl:lncRNA LINC01814 long intergenic non-protein coding RNA 1814
AGGCAGGGAGGCCAUGAGGAGUGCGGUGCAGAGAGGCUGCCUCUCAGGAUUCAGCUUCUGGAGGAGCCGUUCCUGUUCUGUUCUGCUCUCCAUUGCCCCGUCCCACUGACUCUUGACACCUUCUCCAUGUGCCUCUGUCUGCUACCUGGCUAGCUGUCUGGCUCACGAACUCCCCGUGCAGUUAGGAAAUGUGUGCACUGAAAAACCUGCAACCCUGUGCACAACAGCGCUGGCCUCGUCUCCCCGAAUGCAGGCAGGGCUUAUGAUGCAGCUCUCUGCAGGCACUCUCUAGCACGUUGGUAGGCACACAGGAAGCUGUAUUUAUAUAUGUGUGUUGAAUACAUAAAUUUUAACGUGGAAUUCCGGAAGUGGAAGAAGUCUCAUGCUCCUUUCUCCUGACACCUGUGGAAAGCUCUACACUGUCCCUGGCUGCAUCUCUUUGAAUGCUCCCAGGGAUGAGGUGCUCACUCACAAAAUAGCAAUGUCCCUCCUGGGAAAUGUUGACGGUGAAAACAUUAUUUAUGUAUGGCAGCUGCAUUGUGGCUCCCUCUCACGUUUGCCGCAUGGUCUUCGUCAUGGACAGAACUUUGGGGAUCUCUCUUCCAGGGCUUCUCAAAAGGGAGGAAGAUGCCUGCUGGGUAGAGGUGCUACCGGAUCACCCUAACAACCCUCUGGGACCUGUGGCCAUGUGUUCACAACAGCAGCCAUUACAGGUGUUUCCUGAACUCUUGUCGCGAGCCUCUGUCGGCUCCAUCUCAUCGAUCCUCCCAGCAACCCACAAGGAAGCUUCACAGAGAGGCAGAUGCCACACAGGCCACCCACCCAGAUGCAGAGCCAGAUUCCCUGCGUGGACUGGACGGGAGUUUCCCAGCUGGAGUUCUCUCGGCCAAGCUGCCUGUGACAUGGGGUUGGAGGUGCUCCAGAGAGUCAUGGCCACCCCUGGAGGAAGUGACUUGUGGCUGACUGCUCAAGGGGAAGUCCUGUGGCAGUGGAGUCGUCAGCAUUAAUUCAAAUAAGGACCAUCUGCUACCGGCCCCAGCCCAGAUGAUACAGUUAGAGCCUACCCACAGCAUCCUCCCCGCCUUCAGACAGUUCCAGGAACAGGGGUGAGCAACAAGGAAUACCGAGAGGAGGUUUCCACACCAUGAACAAACAUGGCACCAGGAUCUGGAAGCUCCGGGCUUCUCCGUCUUCUAGAAUUCUGGGAGCCUCACAUGGCCCCCUCCUUGGCGAGUGUAUUAGGCUGUACUUGUAUUUCUGAAAUACAAAUAAAUACCUGAGACUGGGCAAUUUAUAAAGAAAA